UGCGCCGGCAGCGGAGCUAGAAGACAGAACAGCCUGGGCAAGAAGGUGGUCUCAGGGAGAAAAUUUGGGCUGGCCUCCCGGGAACCGGCCCAAAUGGAUAGUGAUCCUGGCUUGGGGAGGAAAGAGGACAAGGGCACCCAACCCAGAGCUAGCACAGGGAGAGAGAGGGAUGGAGGAAGGAAGGGAGAUGGAAGCAGAGAGAAACACAAUCAGACAGAAGUGGUCAGAAACAAAGGCUAAGAGACACAGAAAGCAUCACAGAGGCAGAGACAAGAUAGAGACAGUGCAGAGUGCAGGAGAAGAAAGUCAGAGACAAAGAUAGAGACCCAGGAUUGAAGAGAGGGAUAGACAGAAAAAAUGCUUAGGGAGCCUUCUGUCCAGAGACUCGUGGAGACAAGGACAGACAAGGGUGGGGGCAGGUGGGAGCUUCAGGGGCUCUAACGCCUCUAUCUAGGGCCUUCCUCCCAGGCAAGAGUCUCAGUCCAGGACCCCAAGGAGGCAGAGAAAUGGAGACUGGAAGAAAGAGGCUGGUGGGUUCCCCAGCCCUUCAGACACCCAGCCAGCCAGCCUGGGAUUCAGGCUUCUGGACCAGCCCAUAGAUCUGCUCUGCUGUGGACAACAGUGAGGGCAGAGAUGGCCCCAGGCCUCCCAGUCACAAGCUCCCCACAACCUUCCUUUGGGGCUUCAUUCCAAGAUUUAAAGGUCUCCCAUAUUCCUUCACUCAGAUUAUGAAGAAAAGAAGGCAGAGGCCACAGUUCCCUGGCAGUCCUUGGAAAAGGGAUGCUCUCAUAAUGAAGGAAGGGCCCUUCAUGACUCCUCUUCCUUCCCCACCUCUCCUCAUCAAGGUCACGUGCAGCUGGAAUUGUCCACCCCACCCCACACCCUACCCCCUGCCCCUGGCCCUUCUAAGAAGUCCUUCCUGCUAUCUAACUGUAACGCAUCA